AAACGGGUAGAAGACUAACAAGGAUUCCCCUAGUAACUGCGAGUGAAGCGGGAAAAGCUCAAAUUUAAAAUCUGGUGGUCUUUGGCCAUCCGAGUUGUAAUUUAGAGAAGCGUCUUCCGCGCUGGACCGUGCACAAGUCUCCUGGAAUGGAGCGUCGUAGAGGGUGAGAAUCCCGUCUUUGGCACGGACGCACCAGGGCUUCUGUGAUGCGCUCUCGAAGAGUCGAGUUGUUUGGGAAUGCAGCUCAAAAUGGGUGGUGAACUCCAUCUAAAGCUAAAUAUUGGCGAGAGACCGAUAGCGAACAAGUACCGUGAGGGAAAGAUGAAAAGCACUUUGGAAAGAGAGUGAAACAGUACGUGAAAUUGUUGAAAGGGAAACGCUUGAAGUCAGUCGCGUCGCCCGAGACUCAGCCUCGCCUCGGCUUGGUGUACUUCUCGGCCGACGGGUCAGCAUCAAUUUCGCCCCUUGGAUAAUGGCGAGGGAAAUGUGGCACCUUCACGGGUGUGUUAUAGUCUCUCGUCGCAUGCAAGGGUCGGGAUUGAGGAACUCAGCACGCGCCUUUCGGCGUCGGGGUUCGCCCACGAUACGUGCUUAGGAUGUUGGCGUAAUGGCUUUAAACGACCCGUCUUGAAACACGGACCAAGGAGUCUAACAUGCCCGCGAGUGUUCGGGUGGAAAACCCGUGCGCGCAAUGAAAGUGAAAGUUGGGACCUCUGUCGUGGAGGGCACCAACGCCCGGACCAGACCUUCUGUGACGGAUCUGCGGUAGAGCGUGUAUGUUAGGACCCGAAAGAUGGUGAACUAUGCCUGAAUAGGGUGAAGCCAGAGGAAACUCUGGUGGAGGCUCGUAGCGAUUCUGACGUGCAAAUCGAUCGUCAAAUUUGGGUAUAGGGGCGAAAGACUAAUCGAACCAUCUAGUAGCUGGUUCCUGCCGAGUUUC
rnacentral:rRNA from 1 species